rnacentral:rRNA from 1 species
GUGGGGAAUAUUGGACAAUGGGCGAAAGCCUGAUCCAGCCAUGCCGCGUGUGUGAAGAAGGUCUUCGGAUUGUAAAGCACUUUAAGUUGGGAGGAAGGGCAGUAAGUUAAUACCUUGCUGUUUUGACGUUACCAACAGAAUAAGCACCGGCUAACUUCGUGCCAGCAGCCGCGGUAAUACGAAGGGUGCAAGCGUUAAUCGGAAUUACUGGGCGUAAAGCGCGCGUAGGUGGUUCAGCAAGUUGGAGGUGAAAUCCCCGGGCUCAACCUGGGAACUGCCUACAAAACUACUGAGCUAGAGUACGGUAGAGGGUAGUGGAAUUUCCUGUGUAGCGGUGAAAUGCGUAGAUAUAGGAAGGAACACCAGUGGCGAAGGCGACUACCUGGACUGAUACUGACACUGAGGUGCGAAAGCGUGGGGAGCAAACAGGAUUAGAAACCCGUGUAGUCC